AAAGAAACUAACAAGGAUUCCCUCCAGUGACGGCGAGUGAACCGGGAAAAGCUCAAAUUUAAAAUCGCUUGGGUUUACCUGAGUGAGUUGUAAUUUGAAGAAAGUGUUUCGACUUUUCGGGUUUGAUCCAAAUCCUUUGGGAUGAGGUAUCAUAGAGGGUGAGAAUCCCGUUCAUGAUUGAACCUGAGUUGUCAAUGAUUCAUUCUCUAAGAGUCGAGUUGUUUGGGAUUGCAGCUCAAAAUGGGUGGUAAAUUUCACCUAAGGCUAAAUAUCUGCGAGAGACCGAUAGCGAACAUGUACCGUGAGGGAAAGAUGAAAAGAACUUUGAAAAGAGAGUUAAAAAGUACGUGAAAUUGUUGAAAGGGAAACGAUUGAAGUCAGUCAUGCUAGCGAGGAAUCAACUUGGUGGUGUGAGUCUCUCAUCUCCUCCGUGUGCACUUCCUCGUCUGGCAGGUUAGCAUCAAUUUUGAUUGUCAUCAAAUAAUUGGGGUAAUGUGGCUUCGCUUCGGUGGAGUGUUAUAGACCCUGGUGGAUGUGGCGAUUGGGAUUGAGGAUUGCAGCGGAUGCCUCUCGGCUAGUCAUCCGAUUCCUGGCUGUCACCUCGCUUUCGACAGCUUGCUGACGAUUGUGGGACUCGGCGGUCUAGGUGUCGGUCUGAUCUUAAAUUCGCUAAGGAUGCUGACGUAAUGGCUUUAAACGACCCGU
rnacentral:rRNA from 1 species